GUUGCCCUGUGAAUGGCAAGGUCUCGCCUGGCCUUCAAAGCAUCUGCAGAAAUAACACAGCACUGCUGCUGCUGCUGCUGCUGCCGGAGACCGAGCUCUAGCCCACACCGGGGUGAGUCAGACGGGCGACACCGAAUUUGUCAAGAUCGGGCCGAUUUACCUCCCGUCGCUUCGGGCCUCGAGGCCUCUUCCCUCGCGGUGGAAAAGCUUUGCAGAAACGGCUCGCGUCAGCCUGCGAAGAUGCGCGUCAGAGUGGGUGAGCCCCGUCGUCGUCAGAACGCGCUAACCGGCCUUUCCUCCCAUAAAUUAAAUACGGUGCCACUUAAAUCCUAAUUCAUACCGUCAUGCUACAAUGUGCUCACUUCCAGAUUUAAAACGAGAGACAAAUUAAGCUUUUAAAUUGAGAGUGUGUUGACAGCUUUUCAAACAAUUAUGCUGCUAUUUCUGACUGCCAAAAGCUGAAUUCAGGGAAUAUUUUGUAUCCUGGAGAUUCAGUGAGACAGAACAAAGAGAGUUUAGCCCUGAAAUGUUUCAUAGAUAAAAGAAAACUCGUAUAUUUAGCAUAUAUGUAAAACACCCAGGAAUAUUUUAAUAAGAACCCUGAUGAGAAGUCGCUCAGUAAUUACUAAUUAUUAAUUCUCAAUUGUCCAUUGACUUUGGUUAAUUAUAC
rnacentral:lncRNA from 1 species